CUGUCGUUGGAUUAAUAUUGAGUUUGAUGCGCAGGGCUUCAGUAGCUUCACAUUCCACCACGUUAUUGUGACUCAUCGCCUGCGAAGUGUAGGAUAAUUCAUCGCUAGAGCCCGGAAGGAGAGCCAUGACCCCGACGAAAUAUAAUGACACACGAUCAAUAUGAGAGCAUAUAUUCUGGAUGUAUAGGGCUAACUGCGAUAAACAGUCGUUAUUUAAAACUGCAGUCAGUAAAGUUUUUGUUUUCUUUAAUACAAAUAGCAAUGCGGUAUUUUUAUAGUUACAAGCGUAUCAUAUUUAUAUUUUCGGGUAUAAACGUGUUUUAAUGUCGACGAAUAGCACCGUACAAUGGCAAUCUUCGUUGUAAAAUGUCAAUAUAUUGGGAUAGUUAAACUUUUUUAAAAUGCAAAAAUGCUGUUCACAUUAGUAGCCUUAGUCAUUUUGUGUGGGGUAGAGCCUACGAUCUUAUAUCUUCGCAAUUGUAUUGCUAUAUUAAAUUAAUAUAGUGUUGUGUUUUAUUCUGAACAGUUAAAUAUAUAUAUCUGGAAUCUGUGCAUAUUCCUUAUUAAA